rnacentral:rRNA from 1 species
AUUGAACGCUGGCGGCAGGCCUAACACAUGCAAGUCGAACGAGUGGCGGACGGGUGAGUAAUGUCUGGGAAACUGCCCGAUGGAGGGGGAUAACUACUGGAAACGGUAGCUAAUACCGCAUACCAUCGGAUGUGUCCAGAUGGGAUUAGCUAGUAGGUGGGGUAACGGCUCACCUAGGCGACGAUCCCUAGCUGGUCGGGGAGGAUGACCAGCCACAAUGGAACUGAGAAACGUUCCAAACUCCUACGGGAGGCAGCAGUGUGGAAUAUUGCGCAAUGGACGCAAGCCUGAUGCAGCCAUGCCGCGUAUAUGAAGAAGGCCUUCGGGUUGUAAAGUACUUUCAGCGGGGAGACGUUACCCGCAGAAGAAGCACCGGCUAACUCCGUGCCAGCCGCCGCGGUAAUAC